UUCUGGUUGAUCCCGGCAGAAGCUACUGCUAUUGGGAUUCGAUUAAGCCAUGCGAGUUGAAUGAAUUUAGAUUCAUGGCGUACGGCUCAGUAACACGUGGAUAACUUACCCUUAGGACUGGGAUAACUCUGGGAAACUGGGGAUAAUACCGGAUAUUAGGCUAUGGCUGGAAUGCUUUGCCUUUGAAAUGUUUCUUGUAUUCGCCUAAGGAUAGAUCUGCAGCUGAUUAGGUCGUUGGUGGGGUAAUGGCCCACCAAGCCUAUGAUCGGUACGGGUUGUGAGAGCAAGAGCCCGGAGAUGGAACCUGAGACAAGGUUCCAGACCCUACGGGGUGCAGCAAGCGCGAAACCUCCGCAAUGUACGAAAGUGCGACGGGGGGAUCCCAAGUGUUAUUCUUAAUAGGAUAACUUUUCAUUAGUGUAAAAAGCUUUUAGAAUAAGAGCUGGGCAAGACCGGUGCCAGCCGCCGCGAUAACACCGGCAGCUCAAGUGGUAGCUGUGUUUAUUGAGCCUAAAGCGUUCGUAGCCCGUCUGAUAAGUCUUUGGUGAAAGCUUAUGGCUUAACUGCAAGAAUUGCUGAAGAUACUGUCAGACUUGAAGUCGGGAGACGUUAAAGGUACUACCCGGGUAGGCGUUGAAUCCCAUUAUCCUGGGAUGAACCCCCUGUGGCCAAGGCCGCCAACUGGAACGAUCGUGACGGUUGAUUACGAAAGCCAGGGGCGCCAACCGGAUUACAUACCCGGUUUUCCUGGGCCGAAACCAUGGGGAACUUGGGGUUGGAAUGGUUCCAAUUUUUCCUUGCCGAAGGAACCUGUUAA
rnacentral:rRNA from 1 species